CGCGUAGGUGGGAAAGCAAGUCUGGGGUGCAAACUUGUGGCUUAACUGCAAGCUUGCCCUGGAUACUACUUUCUUGAAUUCGGGAGAGGGAAACGGAAUUCCUGGUGUAGCGGUGAAAUGCGUAGAUAUCAGGAAGAACACCGGUGGCGAAGGCGGUUUCCUGGCCCGAUAUUGACACUGAUGCGCGAAAGUGUGGGGAGCAAACA
rnacentral:rRNA from 1 species